rnacentral:rRNA from 1 species
UUUUAUGAGAGUUUGAUCCUGGCUCAGGACGAACGCUGGCGGCGUGCCUAAUACAUGCAAGUCGAACGCUUCUUUUUCCACCGGAGCUUGCUCCACCGGAAAAAGAGGAGUGGCGAACGGGUGAGUAACACGUGGGUAACCUGCCCAUCAGAAGGGGAUAACACUUGGAAACAGGUGCUAAUACCGUAUAACAAUCGAAACCGCAUGGUUUUGAUUUGAAAGGCGCUUUCGGGUGUCGCUGAUGGAUGGACCCGCGGUGCAUUAGCUAUUUGGUGAGG